UCAGCUCUCGGUGUCCUGCUGGCUCUGUCAGGAGCAGAUGCAAAGAAUUCUGGAGCUUUCUGUCCUCCAUGCCCUGAAAAUGCCAGCUGCUACAAUAGCACCCACUGUGCUUGUAAAGAUGGAUUUCAUUCCACGGCUGGGAGGAGAUACGUCACCGAGUCCUCUGAGAAAUGUGAAGAUAUUGAUGAGUGUAAUACUGGGCUGGCAAAGUGCAAGAAGAAAUCAUAUUGCAGAAAUACAAUUGGAAGUUACUACUGCAGCUGUGUCCCGAAUUAUCCUCUCUUCAACUGGGUGGCCGGUUUCAUUAAAUUGAAUCAUCCAGACUGUUAUGGUAAGAAUCUCCAAAUACUCUUUCCACCAUGAGAAAGGAUGUGGAAGGAAAGCCUUUUAGAGUUCCACCAAUUUCAGACCAGGGUGAGAGAGUAGAGAUGUGUCCUGGCCCUUGCCCUUCUAUCCAUUGUUGUCCUCGGCAAUCUUCUCCUGGGAGAUCUCAUUCAAGCUCCUGACAUCGAUAACCAUGUCUAUGUAGACAUCUUACAAAUUUAUGUCUCCCGAAUGGAUCUCUUUCCUGGGCUUCCAAAAUGACAUCUCUAAUUUGCUACUGGACUUCUCCACUUGUUUCUCUCUCACUCUCUUUAAAUUCACUUUCUAUACGUCUCUACCUGUCUAUGUAUUAAAGCCCAUGAGUUCAUAGCGAUACCCCCAAUUCCAGUCCAACACCAGGGCUUGAUCUACUCUUCCCUCUUUUCUUAUUUGUAAAUUCUUUCUCCAACACUGAGAAACCAGGUUCUCACGAUCCAACAUGCAGGAUUUACUUAUUUUCUCGUCCCUAGUAUAAUUCCAGGUUUUGAGUUAGACAGAUUAGAUUUAAUUUCUGGCUUUACCACUUACCAGCUGACU